CAGAUAGGACCCCUGGGGGUGGGCAUGGCCAUGCUGGUGUUGUCUAUACAGAUGCCUGAACGGGAUGGAGAGAGACGAGUGAGGGUCCUGACACAGCCGGAGAGGGUCUUUGACUGUCUUUACAAGAUGAUGUCUAAAUACCACUACAUCCACCACUCAGGGAGUCGGGCCUUGAGUGAAGGUGGAAGAGGAACACAGUUUGGCCAGCGGCUGCAAUUUGGCCGCAACGCAAACACGACUGUCUAGAAGUUUCAGUGACAAGUUUGAAUUCAGGGUUCAUUACCAAGUGUCUGCCCCCAUCCCAGAGCCAAACGGAGGUGACUCAAACCCAAGUGGGUCUUCAUUUUCUGGAUGGCUGUUGCCAUGGUUACCGGCUCAUCCAAAACACUAAGUCGCCCUUGGCCAU